rnacentral:misc_RNA from 1 species
AACGCAUAUUGCACUCUCUGGUACUCCGGAGAGUAUGCCUGUUUGAGGGUAACUAAAAAGAAAUCCUUAUUCUUUUACAGACUAAGGGAUAUGGGUAUUCCGUGUAUAUUCACGGUUACUUAAAAUAUAUGGUUAGUCUUCAUCUAGUCGAGACGCGUAAUAGUGUUAUUUCGCGAAACGUUGAUGAACUCUACCAAGUUUUAAUGCUUCUAAUAUAGGUUAGAGGUAUUUAAAACAAUAUAUAUUUUGACAUUACCUCAAAUCAGGUAGGAAUACCCGCUGAACUUAA